rnacentral:rRNA from 1 species
UACGGAGGGUGCAGGCGUUGUCCGGAAUUACUGGGCGUAAAGGGCGCGUAGGCGGCCGCCUAAGUCAGACGUGAAAUCCCUCGGCUCAACCGGGGAACUGCGUCUGAUACUGGGUGGCUUGAAUUCGGGAGAGGGAUGCGGAAUUCCAGGUGUAGCGGUGAAAUGCGUAGAUAUCUGGAGGAACACCGGUGGCGAAGGCGGCAUCCUGGACCGGCAUUGACGCUGAGGCGCGAAAGCCAGGGGAGCAAACGGG